rnacentral:lncRNA from 1 species
AAUAAUUCUGCUGAGUACAAUAACCUUUUCCUUUGUGAAUAAGGAGUUUGUGUUUGCACUUACAUGAAAAGAGAAAAAGGCCAGUGUUACAGGCAGCAGGAGAUUAUUUCAGGCCUGACUAUUCAGAGGGCUUUGCAAGACCAUGGGAGCCAGGCAAAGCAUAUAAUGAACAAAUUCUUUUGAGCUACAAACUAUAUCCCACUUGAAGGACAUAUGUGAAGUUUUGUCACGGCAGUGACUGCUAUUUUGUUGAUGCCUGAGCUAGCUAGAGAGGACAAAGGCUGCACAUUGGUUUGCCUUGCACAGUCCAGCUCAAAGAGAGACGUUUUCCUGGCAAUUAUUCAUUUCACCCUGCUGCCUGGGUGCAAUGUUUUCCCUGGACAGGCUUGCUGCUGGAAAGUUGGCAGAAGGUUUAUUUGUGGCAGACAACAUGAUAUUUUUGGAUUGCUGAACACCCAGGAAACGAGGGCAGGUUCACUGAGCACAAUCAGAUGCAUAAAACCCGGGAUGGUUUAUGGCCAUUACCGUUUAUGACUCUUCAUGGUCCUUCUCUUCACCCACUCAG